UACGGGGGGAGCAAGCGUUGUUCGGAUUUACUGGGCGUAAAGGGCGCGUAGGCGGUCAGCACAAGUCAGUUGUGAAAUCUUCGGGCUUAACUCGGAAAGGUCAACUGAUACUGUGCGACUAGAGUGCAGAAGGGGCAACUGGAAUUCUCGGUGUAGCGGUGAAAUGCGUAGAUAUCGAGAGGAACACCUGCGGCGAAGGCGGGUUGCUGGGCUGACACUGACGCUGAUGCGCGAAAGCCAGGGGAGCGAACGGG
rnacentral:rRNA from 1 species